GGUUUAGAGGACGUAGGGGCCAAGGGAACCCCCAGUGCCUUCCACCCCCUUCCAGGGCCACUUUGGCCCGCGCUGCAACCAACGGUCCUGCCGCCAGGCAAUUUAGCCCUGUCUAGGGAGAGAGCACCGGGGGUCCCAGGUUUCCCAACCUAGAUCCUGGCUCCCCUCUCCCAAGACCGCUGUGACCCCGACCGAGACGGGGUAGGGGUGGGAACCGCAGCCCUGAUCCCGAGCAGGAGGGCCGCAGUCACCCUGCCCCCACCCGGGAGCCCCGCGCCCAGGCCCGGCCCCCGCGCUCCUCACCUGGGAUGUUACUCGCAGCCUCCGAGCUCGGCGACACCUAUGCCUUAAAUCGCGCGUGAGACCACGCCGGGGAAAAAGUUUCAUAAGGUGGAAUAGAAAAGGCACCAGGAAACUUGGGAGUGAGCAUGCGCCCUGCAACAUAACGGUGUCAACAAGCUCGCUACCUGUCCGACCGGUUCCGGCGGCCGGGGCUGCCUGAUCCAGCCCUUCCUUAGGCAUGAAUGUUUGCAAAAGAAUUUAACGUCUGAUUCUUCCCCCCUCCUCUUUUUAAAAAAGGAAGAACAUUUUUCAAAUCAACCCUCUGCUUCAUACCCCUAUCACAUGCACUUUAUAGGAUAGUCUUUAAAACAAGCCACAGGUUCUCUGCCCCAUGCACCUCGACUGGGAGCUGGGGUCUCCCACGAGUUGGCCCCCACCUCCGAAGUUGAUUUGUCUCCAUCAAGCAAGCCAGAUAUUAACUCUGAACCUUGUGGGGCUGUUCUAGGCUUUCUGGAAUCUCGGUGGUCGGAUGGGGGAGGGUCCGCAGUAUCCUUGUCAGGUAAAGGGAGGGGGGGGGGGUUGAGAACUUAAGUCUCCUAUCAUCCAGAACACCUCUCAAUAAAGCCUAAAAAACCCG
rnacentral:lncRNA from 1 species